CCCUUAGAUGUUCUGGGCCGCACGCGCGCUACACUGAUGCAUUCAACGAGUCUAAAACCUGCUCUGAUAGGGGUGGGUAAUCUUUUGAAUGUGCAUCGUGAUUGGGAUAGAUGAUUGCAAUUUUUCAUCUUCAACGAGGAAUGCCUAGUAAACGCAAGUCAUCAGCUUGCAUUGAUUACGUCCCUGCCCUUUGUACACACCGCCCGUCGCUCCUAUCGAUUGAAUGAUCCGAUGAAUAUCAUGGAUUGAGGAUGCAAGCAGGUUCGCCUGUCUUCAUCUUCGAGAAGUGAAGUAAAUCUUAUCAUUUAGAGGAAGGAGAAGUCGUAACA
rnacentral:rRNA from 1 species